AAUGAAUCCUUGGACACUUCAAACUUUGUGCUUCGCUAUAAUAUUAAACUACAGCACUGCAGCUUGCCCAGUGACAGCUUUCAUGGAGAGAACAUGCUGUGCUUGUGUGGUUGGCCUCAGGGCAUCUCCACAGAAUCAGUGCAAAAUCUGGCAUAGCAACCAGCUGAAAUACUCCAUAGCUUAGAGCUAAGGCUUGGGUUGCAAAGCAAAGAGCACCGCAGCAGCUUUCUAAUCCUGGGUAAUUCUCUACAAUAAUAGAGAUUUUCUUACAGAAUGGGUAGCAAGCAGCUUGCUGUCACACAGCCUGCUGCACUUGUCAGGCCAGGUGUAUGAGCUACCGAGGAAAUGCAAGGAACAGUGUGUUGGAAAUGUUCCAGAUAAAGGCAAUUCUGGCCAGAAAGAACAAAGUGAAAAGCAGAGGAGCACUGAGAACAACAUAUUUUUAACAUAUUUUUUCAGCUUCCUUUUCUAAAGCCUCGACAGUUGCUGUGAGUAUUCAGCAGGGCUGGCAGUAUGUCUGCAGAUUCCUGGUUCAGUGUUUCCUCUGAAAUCAGCCCCACAGACCACUUUCACAGCUGCCCUAGAUCCCACUUCAUUGCCUUGUGGCUACAUUAACCCACAGCCUAUCACAGUUGCUCUGGUUUUGCCUGUUUUAUUUCGACUCCUGUCAGUAAUCACUCAUUCUAAGCAGGACUCCCAGUGCGUUUAUCACUGUCAUCAUGUUACAGCAACCAAACCUCCCUUUCUCCAGAACAGAAGGUUUUGGUAGUUGUGUCUCUUUCCAGAAAUGCAAAGUUUAAGGUUGCAUGCUGCUUUUCAGAUUUCCCAGGGCUCUGUGCAGGCUGUGAGCAGAAAUCUUACAACAGAAAAUCAACGACAUCCUCCCGAUUGUAAGGCAAACCUCUCCUUCCCUUAUUGGCCUAUUGAUGUUGCACUGGGAAUUCUAAAAGCAGGAGUGUGUAGGUACAGUGCAAUAUGAGAGCUGAAUUUCACAUGCUGCAUUUCAAACCCAAGCCAAGAGCUGGCCUGACCAAAACCUACCGAGCAAUUUCAGCAGCAACCAUAGGUUUGCUUUAGAAGACGGUUGAUCUGACCCUGACAAAGAGGUCUGAGGCUGCACCUUUCCCAUAAGGUAAUGAAGAUGCAACGCUCAUUGGAAGAAGUCACAGAUGUCCCACCUUUACCGCAGCGCUCAAGCUCACUGGGAGGGAAGCAAUCUUUCCAUCACACCCUUGGCUCCCCUCCAUGGCACAGACUGCUCAGAGAGCUCCCUCCUGCCAGGGCUUUCCUGGGAUCCAUCUAACUGCCAUUGCAUAAACACUGGAAGCAUGUUUAUAAGAAAGGAUUAAUUUAGGCACAGAACCUUUUCCACCCUUGACAGCUGAGGCUCAAAAGGAGCUUUCUUCAUUUCCAGACUCCUGACACCGCGUCUGGGAGACUGAGCCUGGAGCUCCCACCUGCACCGAGAGGCUUUGUGCUGUGGUUUGAGGGCAGAGGGAAGAAACUGGGAGGGAGAGGGAGAAGACAUCAGACACACAGCAGAAGACACAGGAGCAGAUCUUUGGAGAUGGGCAAAGAUACAGAAGAGAUACAUGAAGUGCUGCUUAUCCAUACAAUUCCUGCCUGGCUUCACCAGAAGGAUAUGGUGAUUCUGGUACCCUCCCUAUUUGACCACCUCAUCUGUGGGUAGAUCUUAGGCAAGAUGGUGGCCUCCCUGCCCAAAUCCCCCUACCAGACACACUUACCCAUGGUACUGUUUCAGCUCCUGAAGCACCUGCUGUACCAUUAGCCUAUGAGGGAUAGAGCAGAAGAAAAGCAAAAAAUUAGAAAAUUUCCUUGCAAAGGAAUUCUGCACCCCACAAAGAAUAAAGCACCGUUCCACAACCAGCUAACUGAGCUGUGCCCUAGUGUAGGGUGGGAUCUUCUUUAUGGCUUUUCAGUGGAUCUCCAGUAGCUCAGAUGCACACAACAAUCUCAGUCAUCUCAAAACAGCCAGGACUGACAAUACCUACACUUGGUCUGGGGACACGUGGUCCUUCUCCAGCAUCUCCAGGGCAGGGGGUUCAACACCUGGAACAGAAAACACUCUCAGCAGACACCCUGGUUUUCUGUAUCACACCUUCCUUCUCCAGUCUAUAUUACACUGAAUUCCUGCUUGCAGCUAGAUGAUAGGGGCUGGUACCACCCGGAGACCCUCCAGCUUCCCUGCAUGGCUGUUCCUCCACUUCUGCACAAUUCUCUACAUCUGUUCCUAGGAUACUGUCGUUGACUCGUGUGAGUGGGGAAUGGCCAAUACAUGGCAAUGAGUCACUGGGGACAUAUCUGUGCUUAGACUGCUCUGAGCUGAGAUCAGUCUCCAAGUCAGCUUGACUUCAUCCCGGGUGCUCCUGGGACCACAUGGAAGAGAAGGGCAGAGGCUGUCUAGACUUGCAGGGGCUGCACCUCUGGUUAUGUAACUUAAUCACAGAUGAGCUGAACUCAUUUGAAGCUAUACGUGUAGUCUGUACAAACCU